rnacentral:rRNA from 1 species
CCUACGGGAGGCAGCAGUGGGGAAUUUUGGACAAUGGGCGCAAGCCUGAUCCAGCCAUGCCGCGUGUGGGAAGAAGGCCUUCGGGUUGUAAACCACUUUUGUCAGGGAAGAAACGGCUUUUUCUAAUACAGAGAGCUAAUGACGGUACCUGAAGAAUAAGCACCGGCUAACUACGUGCCAGCAGCCGCGGUAAUACGUAGGGUGCAAGCGUUAAUCGGAAUUACUGGGCGUAAAGCGUGCGCAGGCGGCUUUGCAAGACAGAUGUGAAAUCCCCGGGCUCAACCUGGGAACUGCAUUUGUGACUGCAUGGCUAGAGUACGGUAGAGGGGGAUGGAAUUCCGCGUGUAGCAGUGAAAUGCGUAGAUAUGCGGAGGAACACCGAUGGCGAAGGCAAUCCCCUGGACCUGUACUGACGCUCAUGCACGAAAGCGUGGGGAGCAAACAGGAUUAGAUACCCUGGUAGUCCACGCCCUAAACGAUGUCAACUGGUUGUUGGACGGCUUGCUGUUCAGUAACGAAGCUAACGCGUGAAGUUGACCGCCUGGGGAGUACGGCCGCAAGGUUGAAACGUCAAAUUGAAUUGACGG